GAUGAACGCUGGCGGCGUGCCUAAUACAUGCCAGUCGAGCGAACGGACGAGAAGCUUGCUUUUCUGAUGUUAGCGGCGGACGGGUGAGUAACACGUGGAUAACCUACCUAUAAGACUCGGAUAACUUCGGGAAACCGGAGCUAAUACCGGAUAAUAUUUUGAACCGCAUGGUUCAAAAGUGAAAGACGGUCUUGCUGUCACUUAUAGAUGGAUCCGCGCUGCAUUAGCUAGUUGGUAAGGUAACGGCUUACCAAGGCAACGAUGCAUAGCCGACCUGAGAGGGUGAUCGGCCACACUGGAACUGAGACACGGUCCAGACUCCUACGGGAGGCAGCAGUAGGGAAUCUUCCGCAAUGGGCGAAAGCCUGACGGAGCAACGCCGCGUGAGUGAUGAAGGUCUUCGGAUCGUAAAACUCUGUUAUUAGGGAAGAACAUAUGUGUAAGUAACUGUGCACAUCUUGACGGUACCUAAUCAGAAAGCCACGGCUAACUACGUG
rnacentral:rRNA from 1 species